GACGGAGGAUGCAAGUGUUAUCCGGAAUCACUGGGCGUAAAGAGUAUGUAGGCGGCUAUUUAAGUCAGGCGAGCAAGCCCACGGCUCAACCGUGGAAUUGCGUUUGAAACUAUUUAGCUUGAGUUCAGGAGAGGAAGGCGGAAUUCCCAGUGUAGCGGUGAAAUGCAUUGAUAUUGGGAAGAACACCGGUGGCGAAGGCGGCCUUCUGGUCUGAUACUGACGCUGAGAUACGAAAGCCAGGGGAGCGAACGGG
rnacentral:rRNA from 1 species